rnacentral:rRNA from 1 species
AGGGGGAUAACAGAGAGAAAUCACUGCUAAUACCGCAUAAGCACACAUUGCCGCAUGGCAGAGUGUGAAAAGAUUUAUCGCCAUAAGAUGGACCCGCGUCUGAUUAGCCAGUUGGCAGGGUAAAAGCCUACCAAAGCAACGAUCAGUAGCCGAUCUGAGAGGAUGACCGGCCACAUUGGGACUGAGACACGGCCCAAACUCCUACGGGAGGCAGCAGUGGGGAAUAUUGCGCAAUGGGGGAAACCCUGAUGCAGCGACGCCGCGUGAGUGAAGAAGUAUUUCGGUAUGUAAAGCUCUAUCAGCAGGGAAGAUAAUGACAGUACCUGACUAAGAAGCCCCGGCUAACUACGUGCCAGCAGCCGCGGUAAUACGUAGGGGGCAAGCGUUAUCCGGAUUUACUGGGUGUAAAGGGAGCGUAGACGGAGUGGCAAGUCUGAAGUGAAAACCCUGGGCUUAACCUGGGGACUGCUUUGGAAACUGUUAAUCUAGAGUGUUGGAGA